GACGAACGCUGGCGGCGUGCUUAACACAUGCAAGUCGAGCGGUAAGGCCCUUUCGGGGGUACACGAGCGGCGAACGGGUGAGUAACACGUGGGUGACCUGCCCCCAGCUCUGGGAUAAGCCUGGGAAACCGGGUCUAAUACUGGAUAUGACUCCAUGACGCAUGUUGUGGGGUGGAAAGCCUUGUGCGGCUGAGGAUGGGCCCGCGGCCUAUCAGCUUGUUGGUGGGGUGAUGGCCUACCAAGGCGACGACGGGUAGCCGGCCUGAGAGGGCGACCGGCCACACUGGGACUGAGACACGGCCCAGACUCCUACGGGAGGCAGCAGUGGGGAAUCUUGCGCAAUGGGCGAAAGCCUGACGCAGCGACGCCGCGUGAGGGAUGACGGCCU
rnacentral:rRNA from 1 species